AAUCAACGCUGGCGGCGUGCCUCAGACAUGCAAGUCGAACGCGAAAGUCCCUUUCGGGGGACAAGUAGAGUGGCGCACGGGUGAGUAAUACGUAGGUAAUCUACCUUCGGAUGGGGAAUAACAACCGGAAACGGUUGCUAAUACCGCAUAAUGCAGCGGCACCUAAUGGUGACAGUUGUUAAAGCGGGGGAUCGAAAGACCUCGCGUCUGAAGAGGAGCCUGCGGCGGAUUAGCUAGUGGUAGGGUAACGGCCUACCAAGGCGACGAUCCGUAGCUGGUCUGAGAGGAUGAUCAGCCACAUU
rnacentral:rRNA from 1 species